rnacentral:rRNA from 1 species
UACGGGGGGGGGCAAGCGUUGUUCGGAAUUACUGGGCGUAAAGGGCUCGUAGGCGGCCAACUAAGUCAGACGUGAAAUCCCUCGGCUUAACUGGGGAACUGCGUCUGAUACUGGAUGGCUUGAGUUUGGGAGAGGGAUGCGGAAUUCCAGGUGUAGCGGUGAAAUGCGUAGAUAUCGGAGGAACACCGGUGGCGAAGGCGGCAUCCUGGACCAACACUGACACUGAUGAGCGAAAGCCAGGGGAGCAAACGGG